rnacentral:rRNA from 2 species
GGCUCUUUGCUCACAUAAAUAUAAAGAGUCGGGCCUGCCCAGUGAAUUUUUUAACGGCCGCGGUACUCUGACCGUGCAAAGGUAGCAUAAUCAUUUGCCUUAUAAUUGAAGGCUAGUAUGAAUGGUUUGACGAGAGCAAUACUGUCUCCUUUUUAUUUUCAAAAACUUAACUUUUAGGUGAAGAGGCCUAAAUUUUAUUGAAGGACAAGAAGACCCUGUCGAGCUUAAAAGACAUUAUAGGAGUCUAAUAUAUUUUUAAAUAAAUUUUCUAUUAGGCUUUUUAGUUGGGGCGACUAGGGAACAAAAAAAGCUUCUUUCUAAUAAAUAAACAAUCAUGUUUAGAUCCGAUAAUAGCGAUCAAAGAAAUUAGUUACCGCAGGGAUAACAGCAUAAUCUCUCUUAAGAGGCCUAAUCGAAAGAGGGGGUUGUGACCUCGAUGUUGGACUAGAAUAUCCUAAAGAUGCAGAAGUCUUUAAGGGUCGGUCUGUUCGACCGUUAAAAUUCU